rnacentral:lncRNA from 1 species
CCCCACUGCUCGCAGCUUCCUUGCAAAGCCACAUCAGUAAAGCUCACAAGCUUCUCCCGUCCGUGUACUCCACCAGCUCCAGAUUCUCGCCAUUCAUCUACCUUUCCACGCUAUCACCAACAAUCGUCACCCUUGCCGCUUCCGAAGGGUCCAAUGACAGCGUCUCGGAUGUGGUGACGCAAUUUUCCUGCUUACAAUCGAAGCGUGAUGGUUUCAUUUCGUGCUGGGAAUCACACCUGGAGUUUUCUGAGAGAACGGUAUUGUGAGGGUUGAAUGAGUUGAAUGGAAACGAAGAAUAUCAAAGAAGGUUUGUCUAAGAAUGAGUCAGUGUUGUUG